rnacentral:rRNA from 1 species
UCCUACGGGAGGCAGCAGUAGGGAAUCUUCCGCAAUGGACGAAAGUCUGACGGAGCAACGCCGCGUGAGUGAUGAAGGUUUUCGGAUCGUAAAACUCUGUUGUUAGGGAAGAACAAGUUGGGUAGUAACUGACCCGACCUUGACGGUACCUAACCAGAAAGCCACGGCUAACUACGUGCCAGCAGCCGCGGUAAUACGUAGGUGGCAAGCGUUGUCCGGAAUUAUUGGGCGUAAAGCGCUCGCAGGCGGUCUUUUAAGUCUGAUGUGAAAGCCCACGGCUCAACCGUGGAGGGUCAUUGGAAACUGGGAGACUUGAGUGCAGAAGAGGAAAGUGGAAUUCCAUGUGUAGCGGUGAAAUGCGUAGAGAUAUGGAGGAACACCAGUGGCGAAGGCGACUUUCUGGUCUGUAACUGACACUGAGGCGCGAAAGCGUGGGGAGCAAACAGGAUUAGAUACCCUGGUAGUCCACGCCGUAAACGAUGAGUGCUAAGUGUUAGAGGGUUUCCGCCCUUUAGUGCUGAAGUUAACGCAUUAAGCACUCCGCCUGGGGAGUACGGCCGCAAGGCUGAAACUCAAAGG